rnacentral:rRNA from 1 species
GAGUUUGAUCAUGGCUCAGAUUGAACGCUGGCGGCAGGCCUAACACAUGCAAGUCGAGCGGAUGACGGGAGCUUGCUCCUUGAUUCAGCGGCGGACGGGUGAGUAAUGCCUGGGAAUCUGCCUGGUAGUGGGGGACAACGUUUCGAAAGGAACGCUAAUACCGCAUACGUCCUACGGGAGAAAGCAGGGGACCUUCGGGCCUUGCGCUAUCAGAUGAGCCUAGGUCGGAUUAGCUAGUUGGUGGGGUAAUGGCUCACCAAGGCGACGAUCCGUAACUGGUCUGAGAGGAUGAUCAGUCACACUGGAACUGAGACACGGUCCAGACUCCUACGGGAGGCAGCAGUGGGGAAGUAUUGGACAAUGGGCGAAAGCCUGAUCCAGCCAUGCCGCGUGUGUGAAGAAGGUCUUCGGAUUGUAAAGCACUUUAAGUUGGGAGGAAGGGCAGUAAGUUAAUACCUUGCUGUUUUGACGUUACCGACAGAAUAAGCACCGGCUAACUCUGUGCCAGCACG